rnacentral:rRNA from 1 species
GACGUAGGGCGCGAGCGUUGUCCGGAUUUAUUGGGCGUAAAGAGCUCGUAGGCGGCUUGUCGCGUCGUCCGUGAAAACCCACAGCUCAACUGUGGGCUUGCGGUCGAUACGGGCGAGGCUAGAGUUCGGUAGGGAGACUGGAAUUCCUGGUGUAGCGGUGAAAUGCGCAGAUAUCAGGAGGAACACCGGAGUGGCGAAGGCAGGGUCUCUGG